GAGUCUCUGCCCUAUCAGCUUGAUGGUAGCGUAUUGGGCUACCAUGGCGGUUACGGGUACGAGGAAUUAGGGUUCGAUUCCGGAGAGGGAGCCUGAGAAACGGCUGCUACUUCCACGGAGGGCAGCAGGCGCGAAAAUUGCCCACUCCCAACACAUUGGGGAGGCAGCGAAGAGGAAUACCAUUGCAACCGUGUUCACAUGGUAGUGAUCGGAAUGAGAGCAAUCUAAACAACUCAACGAGUAACCAUUGGAGGACAAGUCUGGUGCCAGCACCCGCGGUAAUUCCAGCUCCAAGAGCGUAUAUUAACGCUGCUGCUGUUAAAGGGUUCGUAGUUGGAUUCAGGGAUAGGAGGGUUGUGGUUGGCCUCCGGGCUAUACGGCCGCAGUUUCCUCCUUCUCUGUUUGUGUGGAACCGUAGCCCUGCGAUUUCCCUUAGGGGGAUGAGCAAAUCCGCAUAUGCCUUAUGCAUAAAGGGCCGUCCACCAUUAUUACUGUGAGCAAAACAGCGUGUCCAAGGCAGGCUUUGCCAUGAAUGAUAAAGCAUGGAAUAACAAUGGAUCGCACGAACGUAGCGAAUCUUGUGGGUUUUCAAGCCGCAUUCGUAUAACUUCCGAUGCUAUCUACCGAAUUGCUUCGUUGUACGUGACAUUAUGGAUCGUGCCGAGCGAUGCGGCCCAGAUGCUUCGGUUUGGGAUCAAUGGGGACUGUCGGGGGAAGACGUAUUACCACGUCAGAGGUGAAAUUCUUAGACCGUGGUAAGACGGCCUACAGCGCAGGCAUCUUCCAAGUAUGUCUUCGUUAAUCAAGAACCAAAGUGUGGAGAUCGAAGAUGAUUAGAUACCAUUGUAGUCCACUACUGCAAACGAUGACGCCCACGGAUUGAAUGUCCGACGGCUGCAUCCAGUACUCCCUUCUACACCUACGCGAAAGCUGAGGUUACGGUCUCAUGGGGGAGUACAGUCGCAAGGCUGAAACUUAAAGAAAUUGACGGAAUGGCACCACCAGGCGUGGAGCGUGCGGUUUAAUUUGACUCAACACGGGGGACCUUACCAGGUCCGGACAACGUCAGGAUUGACAGAUUGACAGCUCUUUCUCGAUUCGUUUGACGGUGGUGCAUGGCCGCUCCUGGUUCGUGAAGUGAUUUGUUUGGUUGAUUCCGUUAACGAACGAGAUCUCACCCGCUUACUAGGAAGGAUAUCGAACAAAGCUUGCGCUGCCCUUGUGGUUUUGCGCUUGCGAGAUUUCCUUACCUUCUUAGCGGCACCUGGCGUGUUUUAUAGCACCAUGGAGCGAGCCAAUAGCAGGUCUGUGAUGCUCCUAAAUGUCCUGGGCAACACGCGCACUACAAUGGCAGAGGCAACGAGUCUGGAUUACGCAGCCGGGACACGAAAGGUCCGGGGAAACAUGUAACUCUGUCGUGCCUGGGAUCGAGGCUUGCAAUUAUUUCUCUUCAACGAGGAAUGCCUAGUAGGCGCAGGUCAUCAACCUGCACUGGAUACGUCCCUGCCAUUUGUACACACCGCCCGUCGUUGCUACCGAUUGGGUGACUGACAGAGAUUGCUGGACUGUGCCAACCUUCGGGUUGUUGCGGGAAGUCAACCAAUGUUUAUCAUCUAGAGGAAGCAAAAGUCGUAACAAGGUAGCUGUAGGUGA
rnacentral:rRNA from 1 species